rnacentral:rRNA from 1 species
UACGUAGGGUGCAAGCGUUGUCCGGAAUUAUUGGGCGUAAAGAGCUCGUAGGCGGUUUGUCGCGUCUGCUGUGAAAAUCCAGGGCUUAACCCUGGACCUGCAGUGGGUACGGGCAGACUGGAGUGCGGUAGGGGAGAUCGGAAUUCCUGGUGUAGCGGUGAAAUGCGCAGAUAUCAGGAGGAACACCGGUGGCGAAGGCGGAUCUCUGGGCCGUAACUGACGCUGAGGAGCGAAAGCAUGGGGGAG